GCUGAGGGACUCGCCCCCGGAGGAUGCGGUGGAGUUUGUGCUUUGCUGCAUCCGUCACUGAAGAACAAAAUAAGAGUAAAGGAGACAAGCUGCAGAGCAUGGGAGGCUGUGGGGUCUUCUGAAACCUUUGCUGGGCUUUCCGCGGAGCAUGAGCUUUUAAAACGAAUUCUUUUCAAAGAAACCCAUUUGUGUAGCUGGAAAAAUGAUACACAUGCUAAAUGCAGCAGCCUAUCGGGUGAAAUGGACCAGAUCCGGUGCUGCUAAAAGGGCUGCCUGCCUGGUGGCUGCGGCAUAUGCUCUGAAAACCCUCUAUCCCAUCAUUGGCAAGCGUUUAAAGCAGCCUGGCCACAGGAAGGCAAAAGCAGAAGCUUACUCGCCUGCAGAGAACAGAGAAAUACUGCAUUGCACGGAGAUCAUCUGUAAAAAACCUGCGCCGGGACUAAAUGCAGCUUUUUUCAAACAGCUACUAGAACUUCGGAAAAUCCUCUUUCCAAAACUUGUGACCACUGAAACGGGGUGGCUCUGCCUCCACUCGGUGGCUCUAAUCUCAAGAACAUUUCUCUCUAUUUAUGUGGCUGGUCUGGAUGGGAAAAUCGUGAAAAGCAUCGUGGAAAAGAAGCCUCGGACUUUCAUCAUCAAAUUAAUCAAGUGGCUUAUGAUUGCUAUCCCUGCUACCUUUGUCAACAGUGCUAUCAGGUACCUGGAAUGCAAACUGGCAUUGGCCUUUAGAACUCGCUUAGUAGACCAUGCCUAUGAGACCUAUUUCGCAAAUCAGACUUAUUAUAAGGUGAUAAAUAUGGAUGGGAGGCUGGCAAACCCUGACCAGUCUCUUACCGAAGACAUUAUGAUGUUCUCGCAAUCUGUGGCUCACCUGUAUUCCAACCUUACCAAACCUAUUUUAGAUGUCAUUCUAACCUCCUAUACUCUCAUCCGGACAGCUACAUCCAGAGGAGCAAGCCCUAUAGGGCCCACCCUGUUAGCAGGACUUGUCGUGUAUGCCACUGCUAAAGUACUGAAAGCUUGCUCGCCCAAAUUUGGUUCGCUGGUGGCUGAAGAAGCCCACAGGAAAGGCUACCUGCGGUAUGUCCACUCCCGAAUCAUAGCCAAUGUAGAAGAAAUUGCCUUCUACAGAGGACAUAAGGUAGAAAUGAAGCAGCUGCAGAAAUGUUACAAGGCUUUAGCUUACCAGAUGAACCUGAUUUUAUCCAAACGUUUAUGGUACAUCAUGAUAGAACAAUUCUUGAUGAAGUAUGUGUGGAGCAGCUGUGGACUAAUUAUGGUGGCUAUACCCAUUAUCACUGCAACGGGCUUUGCAGAUGGUGAUCUGGAGGAUGGUCCAAAGCAGGCUAUGGUUAGCGAUCGGACAGAGGCCUUCACCACUGCCCGGAACUUACUGGCCUCUGGAGCUGAUGCAAUUGAAAGGAUUAUGUCUUCAUACAAAGAGAUCACUGAACUAGCAGGUUAUACUGCUAGAGUAUACAAUAUGUUCUGGGUCUUCGAUGAAGUGAAGAGAGGCAUUUAUAAGAGAACUGUCACUCAGGAACCUGAAAACCAUAGCAAGCGUGGAGGUAACCUGGAACUACCCCUCAGCGACACCCUGGCCAUCAAAGGAACAGUUAUUGAUGUGGAUCAUGGAAUCAUUUGUGAAAAUGUUCCCAUAAUUACACCAGCGGGCGAAGUGGUGGCUUCCAGGCUAAACUUCAAAGUAAGAUGAUAUUCAAGAAACUUCUGAUUGUUGGCCUCACACUAAUAGAGAGCAACUCAGAGUUCAUGUACCUUAUGUUAAAUGCUCGGAGAGGAGCGUGUGGAAAGGGGAAAUCCGAAAGGUGGAAGAAGGGAUGCAUCUCUUGAUAACUGGUCCCAACGGUUGUGGGAAAAGCUCUCUCUUCAGAAUCUUAAGCGGGCUGUGGCCUGUGUAUGAAGGAGUCCUUUAUAAACCGCCUCCCCAACAUAUGUUCUAUAUUCCACAGAGGCCAUACAUGUCUCUUGGAAGUCUCCGGGAUCAAGUAAUUUACCCUGACUCAGCGGAUGACAUGCGUGAGAAAGGUUACACUGACCAAGACCUAGAACGCAUCCUGCACAGCGUGCACCUCUACCACAUAGUUCAAAGAGAAGGAGGAUGGGAUGCAGUCAUGGACUGGAAAGAUGUCCUUUCCGGAGGGGAGAAGCAGAGAAUGGGCAUGGCGCGGAUGUUUUACCAUAAACCGAAGUAUGCAUUGCUGGAUGAAUGUACCAGUGCCGUGAGCAUCGACGUUGAAGGAAAGAUAUUUCAGGCUGCUAUUGGGGCUGGGAUUUCCCUACUCUCCAUAACACACAGGCCUUCUCUGUGGAAAUACCACACUCAUCUAUUACAAUUCGAUGGCGAAGGAGGCUGGCGCUUUGAACAGUUGGACACUGCUAUCCGUUUAACGUUGAGUGAGGAAAAGCAAAAGUUGGAGUCGCAGCUCGCUGGAAUUCCCAAAAUGCAACAGAGACUCAACGAACUAUGCAAAAUUCUGGGGGAAGACUCGGUGCUGAAAACAAUCCAAACUGCAGAAAAGACAUCCUAAUUUAUCUUGACAUGUUUUCAGUUACCUUCUAGGUGAAGCCUCAGAGACUCUCUCUUUACUGCAUGCAGUAUGUUAAGCUAAGUGCAGAGAAAGCAAGCCGGCAAAAAAAAAGUAUUUUGUAUGAUUUUAGCAUCGAGGAAAUAUAUGAAGACUUUUCAAACAAACAAACAAAAAAAGCAAACAAAUUAGUUGAGAUUAGUCAUGACUUCAGUUAGUGCCCAGUGAAAAGCUAACUCACCUGUAAAGCAGGACUUUCUAGGACUAGGAGAAAGUGGCCUGAGGUUCUUCAUGUAGGAGAAUGCCCCAAAACAAAGCAGCAAAGGCACCAGGAGGACUGAUGUCAGCUGUGCAGAAUUAGGACUUUGAGGGUUCUUUCAGCCCAGUUAACAAGGACAAUAGGUGCAACACCUGGAAUCCAUAAUCAGCAUUGCUAGGGGCCAAGUCAAACUGUGUACAAAAUAACAGGCGUUUUGAUACAUAAUUUCAGUCUGAAAAAAAAGUGCAUUUUAAUGACAGUGGUUGAAAAGAAGCAUGGCUGGACAAGUAUAAAGUACUGUAUUUAAAUUUUUCAUACUUUCAGCAUCUUGAUACAGAUACCAAAAAUUAACACGAAUAAAAAGUGUAUUUGCUUAAAAACAAGCCCUUUUGUUUUUUAAAAAGAGAAUUACCCAUACGGAAGAGGAGGAUCCUAACAAUGCUUGUUCUGGCUGUUGCUUGACUCUGCAGUGCUAUCUGGUACAAUUUCUACCCAGAAAUAUUGCUUGUUUUGUGCCCACAAAAAAGCAUUUUAGAAACUUGAUUGCUGUCCUAAGUUUCCUUGAUCCUGGAAAUCACAGUUAUGUUCUUAUACUCUGCCUUUGAAGCAAUCUUUUAAGGCAUACAAGUUUUUUGUUCCUUUUUCUUCUGAGAAAAAAGACACUCAGAUUUACUUUAGUCACAUGAUUUAUUUGGAAAGAGCUGUAGAGAUCAAUAGAGGUCUUGUGACCCCCUGAUUCAGUGCUUUCAUCACUACUGACCCUUAAAUUUAACUGGGAUAUAAUGUCAAUUUAAAAAUUAUGUGAGCCAAGCAGUGGUGGCGCACACCUUUAAUCCCAGCACUCAGGAGGCAGAGGCAGGCGGAUUUCUGAGUUCGAGACCAGUCUGGUCUACAAAGUGAGUUCCAGGACAGCCAGGGCUACACAGAGAAACCCUGUCUCGGGAAAAAUAAAAUUAUGUGGGCCAGGUAAAUGUCUAGAAAUGGAAUUGUAGGCAAAGCAGGGCAUAAGGAAAAAAUUUAAGUAGAUGAAUAAAUAUUUUUAAGGCAUGGAGGAAUGGCAGUUGCUUCUCUUGCAGGGGUCCCGAGUUCUAUUGCCAGCAUCACAUGGUGGCUCAGAACUGUGUCUAAUUCCAGUUCCAGGGAAUCUGACACCCUCUUCUGGACUUCAGGAGCCCUGCAUGCAUGAAGUCCUCAUACAUACAUGCAGACAAAACAUUCUUAACAUUAAAAAGUCAAUAAAUCUGAAAGAUAGUAAGGAUAUUGAAAUUGGCAAUGUUGAUGUUAUUAUCACUUAUUACUGUUUGCAAGAAAUAAAAACAAGUCGCAAAUGCAAUGGUCAUCAGUCUUUGACUUAAAAUCAAUCAAGAACGACAUCACACCACAGCCUAUGUAUAUCCACCCAAUGCUGAAGUGUCUGCAGUAUCGGCACUCAGAAGGGCAGUGAAUUGAAGCUUCAUACUACUGAACAUGACGAGAGAAAACCCUAUAUGAGUACGUCAUAUGAAAUAGAGCUCAUCUGAAGUACAGAGCCAUAACUGAUGCUUUAAUCUCAUCCUCUCUCAGGCUAUGGUGAGGUAUGUAAAAACCUGAGAUGAAUAGUUCUAGGGGCAUAAGAUUUUGUUUAUGUAUUUAGGCAGCACUUUAGCCGACGCUAACUUGCAAUAGACUGUUUGGAAGACAGACUACCUGGAAGUCACUCACAGUGAUUGUUGUAAGAAAUUACCACAUUUCCACAUUUUAAAUUCCCCAAAUUGUAUGUAAUUUGAGUUACCAAUAAAUGUACCCACCUUACAUGAAGCAAUACAAUAUGAGGUCCCAGUCAGUACUUUUUAAUUUGUCUGUUACUACUACUUCUUACUAAAAAUGUGGGGGAAGAAUUAAAUAUUUUGUUUAGUAAAAGUAUAGAACCAGAAAUUGACACUUGAUUUUUUUAAAAAAACAAUUCACUAAUCUUUAACAACCAUGUUAGCAGCUACCCAGGUUAUUUGAUAAAGGGGAAACAUUUGAAGCAAAUGUCUUACAUUAGCUCUGAAAGGCACAAGAGGAAAAUUCAAAGUUCACAUUUGAAAUUAUGCUUUUUCACAACUUAAAAUUAAACCACGUAAGACAUGAUAUCUUACAUUUUUAAGCUUUGCAAAGGAUGCCAACAUCAAAACUAGAUUUGUAAUUAGACCUUAUUUAAUAGAUUUUUACCAAUGAGCUGAGGUGAAAUAAAUAAAACUCAUUACACAGUGGUUUAAAGAUGUCUGAAAUUCUAUACUUAAAAUCUAGUCGUGAAAUUUAAAUGGUAAAGGUUUCAGGACAAACUAUCUGUUUUCCAGUAGCUUUUUGGUGACUACUGAUUUUCUGAAUUACUUUUUCUGAGACCAAAUACCCUCUGUCUUAGAGGGAGAAUGUGAUGUGAAUUUGUGUUGUGUACAAUCCGACUCUUUCCAAACUGGCCCCACAGGAGACCGGAGCUGAUAUUCUCACAGGCAUCCUUGUGAGAACAUAAAGACCACUGAGAAAUAUCUUCUAUGACUAGGACAAAGAAUAACAAGGAAAAUGAAGUAUAGCUCCGGCUAUCAAACUACUUAUCUUUUCCUUAGAAAAGGCGUACAUUUGUGGAGCUUGAUUACUUUGGGGGGAUAGCUCAUAACCUGCAUUGUGACAUCCUAUUUCUGCAGCAUGCUGUGGUAUGCCAAGCAUGAGUCUGACGCCGUGUUCACCCUAAAAUCCUCUUGAAUCACAAGGCUGACGAUCUUACUUGAAAACCAACCCGAUUUACCCUAUGUUUACACAGGAAGGGUUUUCCCUUCGAUAGUUAAUUUGACUUUUGUCCCAAAUUUUGGUGUGUCAAUAAAAGUAAAAACAAAUGUAUUGGUUUUUUUUUUCCUUCGGGGCAUUAAUUCCAAGUAGAAGCGUGUAUUUGUGAGAGAUGUAGCUUAUCUCCAUGUUUGGAAUAGGUCUUUGACUGUGUAAGCCAAAAGAGCUUGUUAUACAUUGGAACCCUGAGGAAGUUAUGCGCUUUAAGACAUGAUAAAUGCGGCAACAGAUAUUAAAUUAUUUGUUUAAAGAGA